GAUGAACGCUGGCGGCGUGCCUAAUACAUGCAAGUCGAGCGAACGGACGAGAAGCUUGCUUCUCUGAUGUUAGCGGCGGACGGGUGAGUAACACGUGGAUAACCUACCUAUAAGACUGGGAUAACUUCGGGAAACCGGAGCUAAUACCGGAUGAUAUUUUGAACCGCAUGGUUCAAAAGUGAAAGACGGUCUUGCUGUCACUUAUAGAUGGAUCCGCGCUGCAUUAGCUAGUUGGUAAGGUAACGGCUUACCAAGGCAACGAUGCAUAGCCGACCUGAGAGGGUGAUCGGCCACACUGGAACUGAGACACGGUCCAGACUCCUACGGGAGGCAGCAGUAGGGAAUCUUCCGCAAUGGGCGAAAGCCUGACGGAGCAACGCCGCGUGAGUGAUGAAGGUCUUCGGAUCGUAAUACUCUGUUAUUAGGGAAGAACAUAUGUGUAAGUAACUGUGCACAUCUUGACGGUACCUAAUCAGAAAGCCACGGCUAACUACGUG
rnacentral:rRNA from 1 species